UUUGAAGCAUUAAUAAACUUUAUUUAUUUCAGGUAAACCAACAAUAAACAACAUUUACAGAAGGACAUUACAUCUUCCAUAAUAACAUUACAUACAGGUCGUAACAAAUAGGUAAUGCAACAGCUAUUCUACUAUUAUAUCCUAAGUUUCAGUUUAUAAAGUGACCGGUAACAGUUCUUCUAUGUCCGAAACCACUUGUGAAAAAUGAUGUAUUUUCAGAGCAUUAUACAAAAAAAGAAAAAAUAGAUACGCAAGAGAAGCUUUUUUUUGUACUGUAAAACACAGAUUCAGUGUUGAGUACAGCGGGGGUUGCAUGUCUGGUUCCAAAACGCCUUUCCCAACAUAUACUGUACGUCUACGCAGUUAAGAAACUGACAAGGCCAAAAAAUAUACUGUAUGUGUAUAUAUCCAUAUAUAUUUAAUACGAAUCCUCUCUUUUAUGGCGCAAAGGAGACACGCGUGACCCUGUAUGUACGCAAACAUAGUACAAGCGUCACUAUUAAAUUUUACACAAGGCGUUUCACCUCCCCUUUUAUAUACAGCCUAGUGAGACAGUUUAUAACAAAGGAUACAAAAUGAUUAAAUAUUGACAUGUAUCUCGAAAUAUGACUCAGAAUGUGCACAUUCCGUAGCAUGGCCAGUAUAGCAAACAGAUCCAUCUUAAGCCAUUCCCCAAUUCAGAUUUGAAUGGUGUAUUUGUAAAUGGAUUUUAUUAAACAUCUGGAAGUUAACUUUACAAGCAAGAACCAAUGGUAACAUUAAAAUGCUAGUAGGCCCCAUUAAAAUGUUCAUAAUUUCGACCACCACAGUGCUCAAUGUGCAAUUUCACUACUUCUUUCCCAAGAUUUCCCUUCAUAGAGAAAAUGCUUUUUGUUCCCAAAGGAGAAAAAAAUAGCUUUCAGGAACUCCACCCACGCAGGCAGGCAGGUAGUCCAAUACAUAUACAGUAUUUUCAUGUUUAUGUGAUGUCGCGGGCAGGAGGCAAAGGAAGAAACUUCUGGGACACAAAGGCACAAAAUAAAAAGGGGGGGAAAGAAAAGUGAUAUGCCACACAGACAGAAAGCAGGAGAGUAACGUAUCAACAAUAAUUAUUCAGCUGCUUAAUACCUCCUGUAUCCCAUAAAGCCAUGCAAGGCCGAGCAGAGCGAGCUGGGCGAUCUAUCUCAGCAGAGCUCUCUGGUAUUAACCCUCCUCUGUCACACUGCUUCAGUCACCUGAAGACGCCACUCUACUCUCCAUCCUUCCUCACCGUCUUCACUACCACAACACAGAAUCUCUUGCCCCACCAGGAAUGACACUGAAGUUCGAUGAAAUCACUUCAAGUAUUUGUAGUAGUUCUCCUUAAAAAGUCUCACUGGGGUUGGAAACUGGGAUCUGUUGGCCUAUACUAUGGUUGACAAGGCAGGGCACUGAUAUUUCUAGUCUGUGCAGGCAAGGGCAUGUGAUUAAGGACAACACAGGUGCAAAAAGUGACAUUUUUAAUAAGCUGGAAUGUACAGUAGGGCAAGUAGAAAGUGCAUUCUCAAAAAGCUAAUGACACAAGUUGUCACUAUCACUGUGUUUCUCUGUCGUUGCCUUGAGUGCUCUAUACCACACCGACCACCACUAGAGAUGGUGGGUGUCACGCCCUGGUCUUAGUAUUUUGUGUUUUCUUUAUUUAUUUGGUCAGGCCAGGGUGUGACAUGGGUUCAUUUUGUGUUGUGUUUAUGUAUGGGGGUUUUUCAUAGGUUUUGGGAUUGUGGCUUAGUGGGGUGUUCUAGCAAAGUCUAUGGUUGCCUGAGGCGGUUCUCAAUCAGAGGCAGGUGAUUCUCGUUGUCUCUGAUUGGGAACCAUAUUUAGGCAGCCAUAUUCUUUGAGUGUUUCGUGGGUGAUUGUUCCUGUCUUUGUGUUAGUUGUCACCAGAUAGGCUGUAUAGGUUUUCACGUUCCGUUUGUUGUUUUUGUAUUGUCGUGUUUAUUCGUCAUUAAACAUGUAUCGUAUUAACCACGCUGCAUUUUGGUCCGACUCUCUUUCGACGGAAGAAAACCGUAACAGUGGGACAAUUAAAGCUGUAACACAACAUGGACUUGGCCAUAUGGAGAACUAUGUCAAAGCCUUCUACAAGACUCCUUUCCUUUUAGCGUGUCCUCCUCCUCCCUCUAUGAUAGACUAGCAGGUGAGGCAGGGCUGGAGAGGGACUGUGUGUGGCCAAGUGUCUACAGUAUAAUACCUGUGACUGUCUCUCAUGUAUUCUCAUGCGUGUGUGUGUUAGUGUGUGUGUGAGUGCACACACACGUCUUUCUAAGGGUGUCAGAGUGGAUUAAGAAAACGAAUCUCUCCUGAUCGUCAGUAUGUGUCCAUGUAAACAGGAUUAUUUGGGAAAUCGGUCUUCU
ensembl:lncRNA